rnacentral:rRNA from 1 species
UCUACGGGGGGCAGCAGUGAGGAAUAUUGGUCAAUGGACGGAAGUCUGAACCAGCCAUGCCGCGUGCAGGAAGACGGCUCUAUGAGUUGUAAACUGCUUUUGUACAAGGGUAAACCUGAAUACGUGUAUUCAGCUGAAAGUACUGUACGAAUAAGGAUCGGCUAACUCCGUGCCAGCAGCCGCGGUAAUACGGAGGAUCCAAGCGUUAUCCGGAUUUAUUGGGUUUAAAGGGUGCGUAGGCGGACAGUCAAGUCAGCGGUAAAAAUGCGGUGCUCAACGCCGUACAGCCGUUGAAACUGGCAGUCUUGAGUGGGCGAGAAGUAUGCGGAAUGCGUGGUGGAGCGGUGAAAUGCAUAGAUAUCACGCAGAACUCCGAGUGCGAAGGCAGCAUACCGGCGCCCUACUGACGCUGAGGCACGAAAGCGUGGGUAUCGAACAGGAUUAGAUACCCUAGUAGUC